rnacentral:rRNA from 1 species
UACGAGGGGGGCGAGCGUUGUUCGGAAUUAUUGGGCGUAAAGGGUGCGUAGGCGGUUUGGUAAGUCUCGUGUGAAAUCUCCGGGCUCAACUCGGAGUCUGCAUCAGAAACUGCCGUGCUGGAGUGUGGGAGAGGUGAGUGGAAUUCCCGGUGUAGCGGUGAAAUGCGUAGAGAUCGGAAAGAACACCAACGGCGAAAGCACUCUGCUGGGCCGACACUGACACUGAGAGACGAAAGCUAGGGGAGCGAAUGGG